GACGAACGCUGGCGGCGUGCCUAAUACAUGCAAGUAGAACGCUGAAGGAGGAGCUUGCUUCUCUGGAUGAGUUGCGAACGGGUGAGUAACGCGUAGGUAACCUGCCUGGUAGCGGGGGAUAACUAUUGGAAACGAUAGCUAAUACCGCAUAAUAGUAGAUGUUGCAUGACAUUUGCUUAAAAGGUGCAAUUGCAUCACUACCAGAUGGACCUGCGUUGUAUUAGCUAGUUGGUGAGGUAACGGCUCACCAAGGCAACGAUACAUAGCCGACCUGAGAGGGUGAUCGGCCACACUGGGACUGAGACACGGCCCAGACUCCUACGGGAAGCAGCAGUAGGGAAUCUUCGGCAAUGGACGGAAGUCUGACCGAGCAACGCCGCGUGAGUGAAGAAGGUUUUCGGAUCGUAAAGCUCUGUUGUAAGAGAAGAACGAGUGUGAGAGUGGAAAGUUCACACUGUGACGGUAUCUUACCAGAAAGGGACGGCUAACUACGUG
rnacentral:rRNA from 1 species